rnacentral:rRNA from 1 species
UACGUAGGGUGCGAGCGUUGUCCGGAAUUAUUGGGCGUAAAGGGCUCGUAGGCGGUUUGUCGCGUCGGGAGUGAAAACCUUGGGCUUAACUCAGGGCUUGCUUUCGAUACGGGCAGACUAGAGGUAUGCAGGGGAGAACGGAAUUCCUGGUGUAGCGGUGAAAUGCGUAGAUAUCUGGAGGAACACCGGUGGCGAAGGCGGCAUCCUGGACCAACAUUGACGCUGAGGAGCGAAAGCCAGGGGAGCAAACGGG